CGCAUCUGUGCAUGCAGCAUAUCAAUAAGCGGAGGAAAAGAAACUAACAAGGAUUCCCCUAGUAACGGCGAGUGAAGCGGGAAGAGCUCAAAUUUGAAAUCUUAAAGGGUUUCCCUUUACGAAUUGUAGUUUAAAGAAGUGUUUUCUGUUGAGGUUUUGGUAAAAGUUCUUUGGAAUAGGACAUCAUAGAGGGUGAGAAUCCCGUAUUUGACCUUUACUUUCAACUUUGCUGAUACACUUUCAAAGAGUCGGAUUGUUUGGGAAUGCAGUCCAAAAUGGGUGGUAAAUUUCAUCUAAAGCUAAAUAUUGGCGAGAGACCGAUAGCGAACAAGUACCGUGAGGGAAAGAUGAAAAGAACUUUGAAAAGAGAGUUAAACAGUACGUGAAAUUGUCAAAAGGGAAGCGUUUGACACCAGUGUUGUUUUCUGAAAAUCAAUUAAAGAACUGUUUAUGCUAAGUUGUUUAGACUUUAUCAGCUAUCUGCUUAGUUUUGAGCUUUUCUUUAAUGCACUUUUCAGUUAACAAGUCAACAUCAAUUUCUUUUGCUGUAAAAAAGCUUGAGGAAGGUGGCUUGAGAUUCGUCUUAAGUGUUUAUAGCCUCUUGCCUAUGCAGUCGGAGAGAUUGAGGUCUGCAGCGUAGAUCCUUCGGGGCUAAAUGCAUUUGUGCUAAGUUAUAGCAUUUUAUAGACAACUUGUUGACUAUGAUUUGUCUUGUAGCUUACUCGCUUAUGUUAUUUUACCUACGCUUAGGAUGUUGAAUCUGUGCGAGACUAC
rnacentral:rRNA from 1 species